GCCGAGGUAGCUCAGGCGGUAGAGCAGGGGACUGAAAAUCCCCGUGUCGGCAGUUCAAAUCUGUCCCUCGGCACCA
rnacentral:tRNA from 1 species